rnacentral:tRNA from 1 species
GCGGGAAUAGCUCAGUUGGUAGAGCACGACCUUVVVGGGGUCGCGAGUUCGAGUCUCGUUUCCCGCUCCA